rnacentral:rRNA from 1 species
UCGAACGGAAACGAUGCUAGCUUGCUAGCAGGCGUCGAGUGGCGGACGGGUGAGUAAUGUAUAGGGAUCUGUCUGAUAGUGGGGGACAACGUGUGGAAACGCACGCUAAUACCGCAUACGCUCUACGGAGGAAAGCGGGGGCUCUUCGGACCUCGUGCUAUCAGAUGAACCUAUAUCAGAUUAGCUAGUUGGUGAGGUAAUGGCUCACCAAGGCGACGAUCUGUAGCUGGUUUGAGAGAAUGAUCAGCCACACUGGGACUGAGACACGGCCCAGACUCCUACGGGAGGCAGCAGUGGGGAAUAUUGCACAAUGGAGGAAACUCUGAUGCAGCAAUGCCGCGUGUGUGAAGAAGGCCUUAGGGUUGUAAAGCACUUUCAAUAGGGAGGAAAAGUAUAAGUUUAAUACACUUAUGCCGUGACGUUACCUAUAGAAGAAGGACCGGCUAACUCCGUGCCAGCAGCCGCGGUAAUACGGAGGGUCCGAGCGUUAAUCGGAACUACUGGGCGUAAAGCGCGCGUAGGCGGAUAGAUAAGUCAGAUGUGAAAUCCCUGGGCUCAACCUAGGAACUGCAUUUGAAACUGUCUAUCUAGAGUAUGGUAGAGGUGAGUGGAAUUUCAGGUGUAGCGGUGAAAUGCGUAGAGAUCUGAAGGAACAUCAGUGGCGAAGGCGACUCACUGGGCCAUUACUGACGCUGAGGUGCGAAAGCGUGGGUAGCAAACAGGAUUAGA